GCUGGGCAUGGUGGCGCACGCCUGUAAUCCCAGCUACUUAGGAGGCUGAGGCAGGAGAAUCACUUGAACCCAGGAGGCAGGGGUUGCAGUGAGCCGAGAUCAUGCCACUGCACUCCAGCCUGGGUGACAGAGCAAGACUCUGUCUCAA
rnacentral:SRP_RNA from 2 species